rnacentral:lncRNA from 1 species
GAGGAGGUCAUUGUUGGAUUGCUUGCUAUAUUUACAAGCCAAUUUAGUAACUGUCAACAGUUGGUUACCUCCUCCUCAAGAGUUGCUCCACAUUCCAUAUUGAAUUGCAUUAUCCAUAUUUAGUUUCUAACUUAUUUGACAAUAUUAUCACGGCUUGUUUAGCAAGUAUUAACCACUCCUCUUUGAGUUUGGCACCCUUUU